AGAUUGGCCGGCUCACGCGAAUAUAUUCGUUCGAUUCGAGCACUCGAGCAACCGGGAUCGGCCGCUGGUAAUCCCUCUUUAUUAUCGCCAUCAACAAUUCAGCUUCGUUAGCCGAAGGAUCUCCGCAGGAGCGCGCCGCAAAAGAGCGGACAGUUCCAUCAAAAGGCCUGCGUCACGAUCGUCGAUCGGGGAUGGAUCGGAUCGGGAAUUGAUCGGCGGCUCGGGGGUCGGAUCAGAGACGGGACACGAUUCUACGCGGAUCUACGAGGCCUACGGGUUCACGCAGAUUUAUCAACGAAACGUCGCUGGCUCAAGGAAGCCGUCAUGUAUCGACGAGAGCACCUUGGGAUUCUUGUUACUCGGUUCGCUCCUUGGUUACACAACCGGCUCUCCCGCCAACUCGGCCAACUAUCGACCCCACCAGCUUCUCGCUGCCCCCUUUUUCUUCCGUCUUUUCUCUCUCUCUCUCUCUCUCUCUCUCUCUCUCUCUCUCUUCGCCUCUCCCUGCCUUUCUAUCCGAUGUGCUCCCCUCAGCCUCUUUUAUUCCAACCCCAUCUCUCUGUGUUCCUUCCUUUCUCUUUUGACAACCUCCGUCCUUCCACUCUUUUCUGUCGGCCGCUUGUCCUUUCUCUGCGGGCCUAACCCUACGUGUCACUCCACCGGAGCCUGGACCUUCUACGCUUCGUCUAAAGGACCUUCUAACGUUCGCUAGCAUGAAUGUUAACCUGUUGACCGGGUGGUUUCGGGGAUGCUGAAUAAAUCUCGAGGCUUCAAGGGUGGAAGAAGGACAACGGUUGAACGCGGAAGAGAAGAUAUAAUCCGUCGGGCCCGGAGACAGGUCCAUCUUGGGACACGGUAUACGCUUUUACGCUGUACUAUGUUUGAUUUUCCUUUAAAUUGCUCCAAUAUGGUCCAGUUUUGUUAACAGGCUCCGUUAGGCUGUACGUUAUAAGCGAAUCCAACCGAGGUAGCCAUUUACUUCAUCUUUCCAGUCAAGUAAUUCUUAUGACACCGCGGAUUUGAUAUAUUUGUGACAAAAAUGAGUAGAUCGAAUUUAGAACGGUAAAAAUACUAAAAUCGACUUGUUACAACGAUUAAAAAACGAAAUAAAUAUCCAUGUAGCUCCUGUGUCUUGAAAUUUGUCGGGACAAUUUCGAUUUUGCAUAAAAAUCGGCAGUCUAUUUAUGACCUUGGAAUGCAGAAGUAAAUGGCGGAAAUGUUUUAAUUUCAAAGAAUUCUAAACUAAAAUUUGUAAAAAUACUAAAAUCGACUUGUUAUAACGAUUAAAAAACAAAAUAAAUAUCUAUCUAGCUCCUGUGUCUUGAAAUUUGUCGCGACAAUUUUGAUUUUGCAUAAAAAUCGGAAGUUUACUAAUGACCUUGGGAUGCAGAAGUAAAUGGCGGAAAUGUUUUACUUUGAAAGAAUUCUAAACUAAAAUUUGUAAAAAUACUAAAAUCGACUUGUUAUAACGAUUAAAAAACAAAAUAAAUAUCUAUCUAGCUCCUGUGUCUUGAAAUUUGUCGCGACAAUUUUGAUUUUGCAUAAAAAUCGGAAGUUUACUAAUGACCUUGGGAUGCAGAAGUAAAUGGCGGAAAUGUUUUACUUUGAAAGAAUUCUAAACUAAAAUUUGUAAAAAUACUAAAAUCGACUUGUUAUAACGAUUAAAAAACAAAAUAAAUAUCUAUCUAGC